ACGAACGCUGGCGGCGUGCUUAACACAUGCACGUCGAACGGAAAGGCCCUGCUUUUGUGGGGUGCUCGAGUGGCGAACGGGUGAGUAACACGUGAGUAACCUGCCCUUGACUUUGGGUUAACUUCAGGAAACUGGGGCUAAUACCGGAUAGGAGCUCCUGCUGCAUGGUGGGGGUUGGAAAGUUUCGGCGGUUGGGGAUGGACUCGCGGCUUAUCAGCUUGUUGGUGGGGUAGUGGCUUACCAAGGCUUUGACGGGUAGCCGGCCUGAGAGGGUGACCGGCCACAUUGGGACUGAGAUACGGCCCAGACUCCUACGGGAGGCAGCGGUGGGGAAUAUUGCACAAUGGGCGGAAGCCUGAUGCAGCAACGCCGCGUGCGGGAUGACGGCCUUCGGGUUGUAAACCGCUUUCGCCUGUGACGAAGCGUGAGUGACGGUAAUGGGUAAAGAAGCACCGGCUAACUACGUG
rnacentral:rRNA from 1 species